rnacentral:precursor_RNA from 9 species
UGGUAAUUGAAACUUAUGCCUACGAUGCCUUGCCCUAUCCGUCAGGAACUGUGAUAUAGUUAAUAGACACAGUGCCUAUCGGUAGGGAACAGUAUCGCAGAGCUCGUCAGCUGAGUCAGGA